GGCGGGGGGAGGCCCCGGGCGGGGGGAGGCCCCCGGGCCUGUCGGGCCCCCGGGCCUGUCCGCCUGCGGGUGGCGCGGCCCGGGCGCUCCCGAGGGCCGGUGGGGCGGGCCGGCCUCCAGCGGCUGCUCUUGCGGUGUCUGUAAUGGGGACCGAAUCGCUUUGUUUCCACGCCUCCGAAAUAGGUAGGAUAGGGAGUACCGGAGAGGCCGAUGGCCUUGUCCACGCAGGCUCUGGAGCCUUUCCAUAAGCUGCUCUUCACGUGGAGAAGCAUGGACGAUUCUUGUUUAGGUGGCUGUUUUGUGCUUUAAAUUACCCUAGAAAAAAAUGGAUUAUUAAGUUUUCUUUCCUUUUAGAAACAAGGCGAUAAAAAUUAGCUUGGACAUACUUAAAGAGCCCACUGUUCCCCAUGAUAUCUCCGCAGCCUGUUGAUUUGGGUGCUGUUGUGUUCUGGAAGUGCUUCUGGAGAAUCGGUAUAAAACUUGUGUGAAAUGCAACUGUUAAAACUGUUUGUGUUGCAGUUUGCCCUUACCAAAUAGGUCAUGGGCCCUGGCUGACUAAAGAGACGAGACUUAACAAGGAGAAUUGAAAGCUGCAGGCAGAGACUUUGGAUUGAAGAGGUGUUGACAGCUUAAGUUGAUGUCACCAGAGGUGUCAUUGAACAGUCUCCCAGAGUUCAUUGGCCUCAAGAUCCAGACUUUUUCUAUGAGGAUCCUGUACUGUCUGUGUCCUGUGCCCCUGGGACUGAUGAUGGGGGACGAGCCACUUGCAAAAGGGCGACGGAGGAGAGGAACAGGGAAUGGUGCAAAGCACCGAGUGAAGCGGGAGAUCUGCACGGGAGGUGACUCAAGCAAGGCAGCACACAGGGCUGGACGUGGCAACCUGUGACCAUCAGAGGCCAGACAGUUUUGCAGCCUUGGAGCAGUGGAGCAGCAUGCCAACGGGCCAUCUGUGGAGAUGACACAGGCGUCAGCCAGAUGCCACAAGCAAGGAUGGCCUCAGCAUCUGAUUCUGGAACCAGCAGAUCACUAUGAGGAGCCUGGCGAUGGCAGGAACAUCCCGGCAAGGAUGGCUUGUCGAGGAGGAAGGCUGCGGAGCCCUGGCCAUCUGAAAGCUAAGUGGAGGGUCUGGGAGGAGGGGAUAAGGUUGGGGAUUGGAGGGGGGGUUCUCAAAGUUGGUGUAGGGGAGAGGACUGGCAGAGCACAGUCCCCUUGGGGCAGGCAAAGGGACGGGUUACUCUUCAGCACAAUGUCAGUGUGUACAGGGCAGGGCAGCUCCAACCUGUGUCUGGCGUGUACUUCGUGUCGUCUGUUUUCCGUGUCUCAGACUGUAUGUUCCUUGGGUCUUGGUGCCUCCAUAGCUCGGUGACCAGCAGGCACCUCAGUAGCCCUCCCAAGAGUCCGGAAUGCAUCACUUCACUGGCACAGAGCCUGUUGAGCCCUUCUCAUCUCACAAUUACAGCUUGACGCGUGCAUCUCUUUGGCGUGUGUCACAUCCUGGCCGUUUCUGAGCGUUCAUCUCUUGCGGUGGCCAGCCAGGUGCUGCCUGCAGCUCUGCUUUUGAGUCUGCUGUUUCCACAGAAUCGUCAUCUGGGGUUUCAUCCCUGUGUCCUCACUGGUCUUAGGUCUUCAAGCAUGGCUUCUCACACAUCCCUUAUUCUGGUUUUGAUGGUAGCUUUCUCUUGUGUGUGGUGGCAAUUGCCUCUCCUUGGCAGGUCUGCUUUAGAUCAUCUGUACCAUCGUGGCACCGCAGGGCUUCUCUGCCAGCAUCAUCUUCCCUAUGGGAAUUGUUCUCCUGUCCUGUGGUCUUCUCGUGUAUCGUGGUCACGUUGCUGUACUUGAUACAGUGGAAUCUUUCACUGAGCAAGGACAAGAGAGUUAAAAAAAUUACAAAGGUCUUAUGAAAUAAAGAUCUUGUGGUUGAAACAAGAAGAUAAGGAAGUACUAGCUUUGCUUAAAAUGUGGCAGAAUUGCCAAAGUUGGUAUAGGUGAGUGAUCUCUUCUGCUUGCUACAAGAUCAUGCAUGUGGAAACCAGACCUCCAGCACUUAGGCUGCCCACCUCCAACUGAAGACCUACCCACUGUGUCUGCUGUACCUCGAAAUCAGAAUGAGAAAUUCACUAACCAAUCAGAGUAGAGUAACUCUAAAUAUGUAUUAGGUGGAGGAAACUAACCACAAGUGCAUAAAUGUACAUAGCCUUGCUACUUCAGGGGGCAGCUUUGUGUCUAACCACCUCUCACCCUGUGUUUGCAUAAAUGAAAAUACCUUUGCUCUGUAUGUAUUUUGGCAUCUUGCGUACCAGGUGAAGGACCCCACUUUUGGUAUAACAAGGUCAGUCACAGUGUCUGUGUGUAGUCCUGGUCUGUGUGCGAGGGUUGGAGCUGCCCUGCCCAGGGAUGCAGCAGUACUGAUGACAGGGUAGUGUAGCUUUAUGGGGGUGUGGAAGCAAGUUGAUUUGGACCAAUGCUGUUGGCAGAGACCAUACGGUCCAUCUCUGGGCCAACGGGUAGGCAACUGCCACAGUUGUGUUGACUUUCCUUUACGGUCCGGGGCUAGGAUUGGAUCCAGCCGCACCUAGACUCCUCUGAGAAGGAGUUUAGAAAGCAAGGGGGUCCAGUCUGAACCUCGUGACUGGUUGGGAGCAGCAGUUAGUGUGGAAGGGGAGCGGGUCAGGUUUGGAAGGUGCCUUAGCUUGCACACAUGGGGAUUUCUUCUUUUAGCUGUAGUGAGAAGGCACAUGCAAAAAGCAAACAUACCUCUGGUCUCAGGAAGCUGUCUGUCAGCAUCCAGGUGACUUGCUUUAUACAUUGUUUGUUGGUUGUUUUGGUUUUUUUUCAGAUGCAGAGGAACAAGCUGCACAUGAAAGGGCACAGAAGAGGGGAGCAGGGUGCUGGAUGAAGAUGCAGAGCAACAAGCAGCACAGCCAAGGGCACGGAAGUGGGGAGCAGAGUGCCGGCUGAAGAAGGACAGUCAUGCAGCUCCGGAGUAUCGGCAGGACAGCUGGUGGUUCUGACAAGCUUGAGCUUCUCUGGCUGGAUUUUCUGGGUGCAAAUCCAAGUGUGAAGCGAGAUGUUGUCAGCAGAGCGGCCUCUGGCAAGGUGGUACACAAGCCCUCCUAGUCCCCUGGGGUACCUGCCUGGAUGGUUCAGGAUGGCCUGGUGCUGUGCAUUGCAUUUCCAGAGACAAACAGCAGCUUGGCAGCUUGUGGUCAGGACUCUGGAGAGAUUUGGGAAGGCCCCAGAGCACCUUCUGCAUCCUCUCACAGUCAGCAUGUGAGUGAAGUGAUGCAGGAUUCCCACCUCCGUGCCGGUCCCGCAUGUCAUCCUCUUCCCCCAUGGUUCCAGGCUGUCAGCAUGGGAGAGACUUGCUUCCCCUCCAGGUCCAAGUGUUUCCCAGUGCAUGAGGGACCUGCCACAGAACCUAAGCUUUCCUAUCGCAUUGAGUGAAGAGCUGCAUAACACUUAGAGCCUGGUGUAGGUUGGCUUCUUCCUGCUAAGAAGCCGUUUCUUCACAAAAUGCUUUUCUUUGUCUAAGAUGGAGACAUACAAGUAGUGGUGACCUGAUCUGUGCUUGUGAAUGGACUUGGUGGAAAGUACCAAACUUCUCUUUUGUUGCAAUUGGAACUUGCUGGAGGAAUCCCAAGGCAGACUGACCAUGACACCUGAAGCAGAUACCAGCCACCGGUGUGUUCAGAUGCUGAACAAAUAUUUCUCAUACUCCCUUUCAAUUGUUGGAAACCUGCCAGAGAUUUUACAUGACUAAGAGUGACUUAUGUGGAAAAUCAACUCCAGGAAGCUUAUCUCAGUGAAACCCAAGAAAAGCAAAGGUCUGCUGUUGUGUGUUCACAUCUCCUUCACACUUUCCCUGCUCCUGCAUUUUCUCCAAGAUCUUUUCUCCUCCUCUUUUGAGGAAGAUGCCAGAGUGACAGUAACAAAAGCUGGAACUUAAGGUAAAAAUACAUUCAAUAUUUCUGCAUGUCAUGGACUUCUAGGCAGUGUUAGGUGCUUGCUGUAGCUACAGCCAUCUCCAGGUUUUCUCUUAACUUUCUGCAAGGGAGCUGUGCACAGUGGUAAAUAGCAUGAUGCAAAUCAGACUCACCAUAAACUCCUGUGAGAUGGGCAGUUGUUGUACAGAGCAUCUUUGAAAGGGGAGCAAAAGCAAAGCUCAAGGGAUGACAUGAUACCUCUCUCAUGGUUUCCUGACUGAUUUGCAUGUAUGCAGAUUUAUGCAUUCUGUUUGUAUGUACUUGUUUCCCAAAGCUCUGUAUGAUUCAUUUAUUUCAUCCUGGUUUUGUAGUAGCUUGAAACUUAUCCAUGCACUGUUCAAUAUCUGGUCCUAUUGCCCUCAAAAGUGUUGAGGUUCCUCAAUCACAUUCAGCUGUUCCCCCUAAAUGACUUCUUCAGGAUCAGGUUGAAAGCACCUGAAGAACAGAAACAGUCUUUUCUUAUGCUGUACUGACAGGUACAUUUUCACU